CAGCCACAUGGUCUGGCUGGGACAUCUGAAAAUGUUACCUAACCAAACUCCUGUAAAACCACACCACCUAUGCCUGUGAUGGGGACUAUCUGAAUCUACAGUGCCCUCGGCAUUCUACAAUAAGUGUCCAAUCGGCAUUUUAUGGACAAGAUUACCCAAUGUGUAGUUCCCAGAAGCCUGCCUGCCAGAGGGAAGACAGCUUAACUUGUGUGGCACCCACCACCUUCCAGAUGAAUUAAAAAACAAAACCGUGUGUGAAGACAAGGAGCUGAAACUGCACUGCCAUGAAUCCAAGUUCCUCAACAUCUACUCUGUGACCUAUGGCAGGAGGAUCCAGGAAAGGGACAUGUGCUCCUCCAAGGCAGAGCGGCUCCCCCCCUUUUCAGUAUGAACUUCGACCCAAGCGAA
rnacentral:lncRNA from 1 species